rnacentral:misc_RNA from 1 species
UCCGGUUUAUCACCAGCAGUCUCAUUAGAGUGCUCUAUCCGUAGCAACUAAUGACAAGGGUUGCGCUCGUUGCGGGACUUAACCCAACAUCUCACGACACGAGCUGACGACAGCCAUGCAGCACCUGUGUUCACUUUCCCUUUCGGGCACCUAAUACAUCUCUGUUUCGUUAGUGACAUGUCAAGGGUAGGUAAGGUUCUUCGCGUUGCAUCGAAUUAAUCCACAUCAUCCACCGCUUGUGCGGGUCCCCGUCAAUUCCUUUGAGUUUUAACCUUGCGGCCGUACUCCCCAGGCGGUCGACUUCAUGCGUUAGCUUCGUUACUGAGGUCAUAAUAACCCCAACAACUAGUCGACAUCGUUUAGGGCGUGGACUAC